rnacentral:misc_RNA from 1 species
GACGUUGAAACGCCAGUCAGGUAAUAGUUUGGUGUACGGGCUGAUGAGCUGUCGGGCAAGUGCGAUCAGCUCCUGUUGCCCUUGCCUACGCUCGCCGACGGGGACGAGACUGACGCUGACGUUACCGCUGUUUCCGCCGCCGCCGCCGCCAAAGCCGCCGGCAUUUACGACGGUAUUCCUCAGUCCUGGCAUCUUUUCACGAACGUCUCGCGCAAUUCGGUCGAGGAUAGACUGGGUGGCCGCCAGAGAUGUGCCCUGGGGACCACGGACAUUGAUCUGAAAGAUCGAUUCGUCCUCGUCCGGCAGGAACGCCAUGCCGACAAACUUGUACAGCGGCACGAUCGAGAUCACCGUACCGAU